rnacentral:lncRNA from 1 species
AGAUUGCACAGAGUUCUUGAUAUUGAAGGGUGAACCACGUUCAAGGAAGAAGAGAUCACCCCAUAAAACCCUUCCAGCUUGUGCUACAAUCGGAUGCCUCUAAGAUGGACAAAAAAGGCACACAGAGAUAUUCCCUACUCAGGCUCUGGUCAAAUCUCUCUCCACUUAAUGAAGCAUGGCUUUCAAUUGCACCUGGAGGUGAGGAAGGGUAGGGGGCAUAGGGCAUGUUUGUAAACAAUGCCAUCAGGAAUAAAAGUGUUUGAAGCUGAAGCUGGGUCUGCCAUCCAAAUGUGGAAAGCGUGCCAGAGGACUGUCUUUCCCAUUCCCGCCCCACCUGCACAGCCACAGAGACGAAGCUCAGCUCCGGGAUAAAGAGGAAAAAGCACUGCCUGGACCUGUCCACCAGCAAGGGGACAUUGCUUUGCAUAAACAGACAGAGGGGCUCUUGGGUGUUGGAGAACAAUAGCACAGCCAGCCCAGCACACACACCCUGUUACACAUUAUAU